UACGUAGGUGGCAAGCGUUGUCCGGAUUUACUGGGCGUAAAGAGCGCGCAGGCGGUCGUUCAAGUCGCGUGUGAAAGCCCCCGGCUCAACUGGGGAGGGUCACGCGAUACUGAUCGACUCGAAGGCAGGAGAGGGUAGUGGAAUUCCCGGUGUAGUGGUGAAAUGCGUAGAUAUCGGGAGGAACACCAGUGGCGAAGGCGGCAUCCUGGACCGGCAUUGACGCUGAUGAGCGAAAGCUAGGGGAGCAAACGGG
rnacentral:rRNA from 1 species